GGUCCCCCUGGCACUGACUGAACUGGAAAAGAAACAACAUCCACAUCAUUGUUCUCAUCAUUCUACCAGACAAAGUAGAAAAGUGAAGGCAGCACAACGGGAACCAUGUCGAAAUACCCAGAAAUAACUGAGUUCGAUCUGCGCGUAGAAUGCGUCUUUUUCUUUAUCAGUACUUCCUGAGAGGGGGCUGUUCACGUUGGUAACCUGGUUCGUCGCUGGGGUCAUUGCCGUUGGACUCGGUUCGUAUUACAUAUUCUAUUUCUGAUUUUCCUUUGCAAUUCUUUUUCACAGCUGGCUUGCAGGACCGGACAUCAACCUCCUUCACAAUGGAGCUUAGAGUCCUUCUCUAGCACUCGGACGUCGAUCAGCCGAACAAUGUGGAUAACAGACGCUGUUCUGUGCCGUUUCGUUUUGAGAGCUCUUCUGAUUAUAUCCAGUGGUACAGGAAGCGGUCUUCUCCGGCGAUGCCAACAUCCCCACCAUCUGGAGGUCCGGCAGUGCCACUUCAAAUGAUUAUCGCACGUCUCGCAGCUGAUACAGCACCUCCAGGACACGCCGACUUCUACGUUGAGAAAUCAUCAGCUGGGUACCGUGGGAAUUCAUCAGCUGGGUACCGUCGAUUUGUCGUGUCUACCCAAGCGAUACCAACAAAAUGUACAAACGGGAGUCGAACGUUUACGGAUCGACACCACGCUGCUGGGGUUUGAUAUGCGGAAAUAGGAGCUACAGUUUUGAAGACCAGUCGGAGUCGGCUACCAUGAUCGACUAAGGAAGCAAUGUCGAAUUUAGAACCCGUCCUCAUGUGUCACCAUGCAGCUUUCGCGGGAUUCCCCGUUAAGACCGAGAUCCUGCUUUUCCACGUAAUGAACGCGAUCCUCUAAUAUUUGGAAACGAGUUCGCGAUAAAAGCGCAGCAGUCUGCAAGAGAGCGAGGAGCGCACCUCCAUUAUCGACAUUAAUAUUACUGUUUCAACGUGCCGACAGAGUACGUGCAUGGUAACGAUGCCUGUAAUAAGAUAAAAUUAUGUAAUAUGUAUAUUAAAUAUUGAAAAAAUAAAAUAAGCAUAGGUACAGUAUUCGUACUGCGUUGUAAACAACCUUUACUAUCGACUUUUCCCCAAUGGCUGAUUAAAUUGGGUUUUAUCCUUUUUCGACUUGAAUUAAGUAUAGUUCUGAUAUUUUCUGCAACUAUACUGAAUUCUGAACGAAAAAGGCAAAAAUCCAAUUUAAUCAACCAUUCGGGGAGCUUUUUCAAUAAAUUUAAUUUACAUCGCUUCCACUACAUCAUGAAAAGUACGUCGAAUUCAUUACAUCGCGAAAAUUACAUCGGAUCUGUUUAUUACAUCAACAGCCGUCGAGUACAUCGGGCUGUGUAAUAUUAAUCGAUCGAUGUAACGACCUGGUUGCAGCGAUUUCGAUGUAAUAUUCAACAACUUUUUUUGCUGUGUGGAGACCCC